CCUAAGUAUUGGUGUUGGGCAAAUAGCAAGGAAAAGCAACUCUCCCUGCAGAGCCCUUUAGGGAUACCUCUGGGAGAUGCUUAGGUGCCAGAAAGAGAAGGAUUGGAAGUCUGUGUAGAGUAUCUAGAUCCCCAGAUUUGCUUCCACCAUCACCACUCUUACCCAUAUAGGAUGAAAUAAAAGAAAUUGAGCCUGAAAGGUCCAUACUCAGAGGUACCAGAAUAGCUGAAGGCCCCAUCCCCCACCUCCACUUCUGUCUAGAUGCCAAAAUACCAGCAUGCAGAUGUGUACUGUCCUGCUGCAGCCCAGGAGGGAGGUUGGAGGAUUCAUCUCAGUAACUGAACAGCCUCCAGCUCCUGACAUUUGGGAGAAUUCCCCAAUAGGAAGGUCAGCUCAUCACCCUCUCAAUGAAGCCCAACCAGGAAGAAGCUCUGCCUGUGCACAGAGGCAUGUAAUCAGCUGUUAGAAAUGCAUUUUCAUACAUGAAUGAACAAUCAAGGAUAAACAAAUAUUUGAGGUUAUAUUCAAGAAUGAAAAACAUCAGUACAAACAAGGGGGAAAGGGACCCAGAGGUCAUGGCAAUAACUUAGGGAACAUUUAAAAGAGAAAAUGCUGUAUCUAUUAAUAUAGAAAUUGUUACUAUGAAAAGAGAUCAGAGAAAUUUAAGAAUGCUUGGAUAUUAAACCAUGGUUAGCAAGUUGAAAGAUUCUGUAAGAGGUUGGGAAGUUAAGAAAAAGCUAAGAGAUGAAAAAUUAGAGGCCAAAAUAAGGAAAUUAGAGGAUCAAUGCAAGAGAAGAAUAAUAGAGAUACCAGAAAGAAACCAGAGAGAAAAUAGAAGGCAGUUGUAAAAAGAAUAAGGUACUUCCCAAGCAAGGAAGACACAAACCUGCAGACUGAAAGGGCCGUGAGUUAGGAAACACCUAUAUCAAAGGUAUCAUGAAAUUUCAGAACACUUAAAGAGAAGAGAAGUUCCUUGAGGAAAGAGCUGACCAAGGAAUAAGGGAGCAGUUACAGAUAACAAAAGAGGAAUUACAAGCUGAAUGGCAUCUCAUUUCUAAAUAGCAUCACCAUUGAGCUAACAGUAGAAUGUUGUUCAACCUGCUACAACCAACAAAAUAUUAAUCAAGCAUAGGGAUAAUCUAAAGAUAUCUUCCAGCUUAUAAGAACUCAAAGAAACAAAAGAAUAGUGUGUGUCCCUUUUCUCAUUUAGCAUAAAUGGCCUUCAAGGUCCAUCCAAGUUUCACAAAUGGCAGGAUUUUCUUCUUUUUAUGGCUGCAGAUAUCCACUGUGCUCAUGUGUGUGUGGAUGGAUGGAUGGAUGGAUAGAUAGAUAGAUAGAUAGAUAGAUAGGGAUAGAGAUAUAUAGGUAUAUUGAUAUAUAUCAAAUUUUCUGUAUCUGUUCUUCCAUUGAUACUUACAUUGUUGUUUCCAUGUCUUGGCUAUUGCAAAUAGAGCUGCAAGGAACAUGUGGGUGCAUCUGUCUUUUUUAAGGAAAGUUUUGUCUGGAUAUAUGCCCAAGAGUGGGAUCACUGGGUCAUGUGGUAGUUCUAUGUAUAGAUUUCUAAGGUACCUCCAUACUGUUCUCCAGAGUGGUUGUACCAGCUUACAUUCCCACCAACUGUGCAGGAGAGUUCCCUUUUCUCCACAGCCCCUCCAGCACUUGUUAUUUGUGGACUUAUUAAUGAUGGCCAUUCUGGCUGGUAUGAGGUAAUAUCUCAUGGUAGUUUUGAUUUGCAUUUCUCAGUGAUUUUUUUCAUGUGCUUGUUGGCAAUCUGUAUAUCUUCCUUGGAGAAAUGUCUAUUCAGGUCUUUUGCCCAUUUUUCUAUUACUAUUUAAUAUUUGCUGUCCAGUCCAAUAAGAAAAGUAAAGAAAUAAGUAAAUAAGUGGCACAUAUUGGGGGGGAAAAAGCAUAUAGCUAUGAUUAUUUCUGAGUUCCCAAACCCCAGCUGGUAAGCCCUCUCAUAUUUCUGAGUAAUAUGAACAAUGAAGUCUAAACAUAUUACUAGAAAAACUUUACAAGAAAUUAAGAAAAUUCUCUAAUGCGUAGUAUGAAAGUACAAAAAAACUACACCAUCUCUACAUACCAAUAAUGACUAAUUAGAAAAUUAAUGAGGGAAAUACUUUAAUAAUAAAGAUAAUAAAAAACAUUACAUAUUUAUAAAUAAGCCAGUUUGAGAACUCUAUAAAUCAUAUAGAGACAAACUACAAAAUUAGAUUGGACAGUAAGAGAUAUAUAAUGUGGAAGGACGCAAUGCCCAUGGAAGACUCAGCAAUGUAAAGACAGUAUCAACUUAAAACACACACACACAAGGUAAAAGCUGUGAGUCAAGUUUAUUCAGUAUCUUACUGAGGACUAUAGCCUUGGAGCCAGGCUCUCAGAGAGCUAUGUGAAACUGUUCUGAAGAGGUAAGGGAAGGAGUAAGCCAGUGUGUAUGGGAUUUGGGGGAAGGAGUACAUGCAACCAAGCAUUACAUCUUAGUAGAAGUUUGCCAGUAGUCACAAGGGACAGAAAUCCUCUUGGUGUCAGUGCCUUUCUAAGUGUGCGUAGGUACAAGAAUCUAGAAUUCAUAAAAAAUUCUUCCCAAAAUAUCUAUCUGAUGUCCUAUUCUACCAGUUUUCCCAGAAAAUUAUACGACAUUCCUGAUUUCCACUCUCAGUUCCUUUCAGGGUGUGUUGAAGGUCAGUGGCAGCAAUGCUAGUAAGUUAUUCUUUGUAGAACCAGAGAGCUAGUAACAUCCUUCAGUUGUCAAUAACAAUGUUAAUUCCCCAAAUUGAUAGCAAUUAAAUUGAAUCCCAUUAGGUUACGGCUUUGACAAGAACUGGAAAAAAAAAAAAAAA
rnacentral:lncRNA from 1 species